rnacentral:rRNA from 1 species
AAAUUGAAGAGUUUGAUCAUGGCUCAGAUUGAACGCCGGCGGCAGGCCUAACACAUGCAAGUCGAACGGUAACAGGAAGCAGCUUGCUGCUUCGCUGACGAGUGGCGGACGGGUGAGUAAUGUCUGGGAAACUGCCUGAUGGAGGGGGAUAACUACUGGAAACGGUGGCUAAUACCGCAUAACGUCGCAAGACCAAAGAGGGGGACCUUCGGGCCUCUUGCCAUCAGAUGUGCCCAGAUGGGAUUAGCUUGUUGGUGAGGUAACGGCUCACCAAGGCGACGAUCCCUAGCUGGUCUGAGAGGAUGACCAGCCACACUGGAACUGAGACACGGUCCAGACUCCUACGGGAGGCAGCAGUGGGGAAUAUUGCACAAUGGGCGCAAGCCUGAUGCAGCCAUGCCGCGUGUAUGAAGAAGGCCUUCGGGUUGUAAAGUACUUUCAGCGGGGAGGAAGGUGUUGUGGUUAAUAACC